rnacentral:snRNA from 1 species
AAGUGUUAUAGCUCUUUUAGAAUUUGUCUAGUAGGUCUUCUGACUUUUGUUGGAAGGCCCUC